UGGAGGGAGUUUGAUCCUGGCUCAGAUUGAACGCUGGCGGCAGGCCUAACACAUGCAAGUCGAACGGUAACAGGAAGCAGCUUGCUUGCUUUGCUGACGAGUGGCGGACGGGUGAGUAAUGUCUGGGAAACUGCCUGAUGGAGGGGGAUAACUACUGGAAACGGUAGCUAAUACCGCAUAAUGUCGCAAGACUAAAGAGGGGGACCUUCGGGCCUCUUGCCAUCGGAUGUGCCCAGAUGGGAUUAGCUAGUAGGUGGGGUAACGGCUCACCUAGGCGACGAUCCCUAGCUGGUCUGAGAGGAUGACCAGCCACACUGGAACUGAGACACGGUCCAGACUCCUACGGGAGGCAGCAGUGGGGAAUAUUGCACAAUGGGCGCAAGCCUGAUGCAGCCAUGCCGCGUGUAUGAAGAAGGCCUUCGGGUUGUAAAGUACUUUCAGCGGGGAGGAAGGGAGUAAAGUUAAUACCUUUGCUCCAU
rnacentral:rRNA from 1 species